rnacentral:rRNA from 1 species
CCUACGGGGGGCUGCAGUGGGGAAUAUUGGACAAUGGGGGGAACCCUGAUCCAGCCAUGCCGCGUGUGUGAAGAAGGCCCUCGGGUUGUAAAGCACUUUCAGUGAGGAAGAACGCCUGGUGGUUAAUACCCAUCAGGAAAGACAUCACUCACAGAAGAAGCACCGGCUAACUCCGUGCCAGCAGCCGCGGUAAUACGGAGGGUGCGAGCGUUAAUCGGAAUUACUGGGCGUAAAGCGCGCGUAGGUGGCUUGAUAAGCCGGUUGUGAAAGCCCCGGGCUCAACCUGGGAACGGCAUCCGGAACUGUCCAGCUAGAGUGCAGGAGAGGAAGGUAGAAUUCCCGGUGUAGCGGUGAAAUGCGUAGAGAUCGGGAGGAAUACCAGUGGCGAAGGCGGCCUUCUGGACUGACACUGACACUGAGGUGCGAAAGCGUGGGUAGCAAACAGGAUUAGAUACCCCUGUAGUC